rnacentral:rRNA from 1 species
AUAUCAAUAAGCGGAGGAAAAGAAACCAACAGGGAUUACCUCAGUAACGGCGAGUGAAGCGGUAACAGCUCAAAUUUGAAAGCUAGCUCUUUUAGGGUUCGCAUUGUAAUUUGUAGAAGAUGCUUCGGGUGUGGCCCCGGUCUAAGUUCCUUGGAACAGGACGUCAUAGAGGGUGAGAAUCCCGUAUGUGACUGGGUGCUUUCGCUCAUGUGAAGCUCUUUCGACGAGUCGAGUUGUUUGGGAAUGCAGCUCAAAAUGGGUGGUAAAUUUCAUCUAAAGCUAAAUAUUGGCCAGAGACCGAUAGCGCACAAGUAGAGUGAUCGAAAGAUGAAAAGCACUUUGGAAAGAGAGUUAAACAGUACGUGAAAUUGUUGAAAGGGAAGCGCUUGCAACCAGACUUGCGCGCUGAUGAUCAUCCGGGCUUCUGUCCGGUGCACUCGUCUGCGCUCAGGCCAGCAUCGGUUUCGGUGGUGGGAUAAAGGCCUUGGGAAUGUAGCUUCUUUCGGGGAGUGUUAUAGCCCUCGGUGCAAUGCCGCCUACCGGGACCGAGGACCGCGCUUCGGCUAGGAUGCUGGCGUAAUGGUUGUAAGCGACCCGUCUUGAAACACGGACCAAGGAGUCUAACAUCUAUGCGAGUGUUUGGGUGUCAAACCCAUACGCGUAAUGAAAGUGAACGGAGGUGAGAACCCUUAAGGGUGCAUCAUCGACCGAUCCUGAUGUCUUCGGAUGGAUUUGAGUAAGAGCAUAGCUGUUGGGACCCGAAAGAUGGUGACUAUGCGUGAAUAGGGUGAAGCCAGAGGAAACUCUGGUGGAGGCUCGCAGCGGUCUGACGUGCAAUCGAUCGGUCCAACUUGCGUAUAGGCGAAAGAACUAUCGAACCAUCCUAGUAACCUUUG